CCUACGGGGGGCAGCAGUAGGGAAUAUUGCUCAAUGGGGGAAACCCUGAAGCAGCAACGCCGCGUGAGCGAUGAAGUAUUUCGGUAUGUAAAGCUCUAUCAGCAGGGAAGAAAAUGACGGUACCUGACUAAGAAGCCCCGGCUAACUACGUGCCAGCAGCCGCGGUAAUACGUAGGGGGCAAGCGUUAUCCGGAUUUACUGGGUGUAAAGGGAGCGUAGACGGCGAUGCAAGCCAUAUGUGAAAGCCCGGGGCUCAACCCCGGGACUGCAUUUGGAACUGUAUAGCUUGAGUGUCGGAGAGGCAGGCGGAAUUCCUAGUGUAGCGGUGAAAUGCGUAGAUAUUAGGAGGAACACCAGUGGCGAAGGCGGUCUGCUGGACGAUGACUGACGUUGAGGCUCGAAAGCGUGGGGAGCAAACAGGAUUAGAUACCCGUGUAGUC
rnacentral:rRNA from 1 species